rnacentral:misc_RNA from 1 species
GAUGAAGAACGUAGUGAAAUGCGAUAAGUAAUGCGAAUUGCAGAAUUCCAGUGAGUCAUCGAAUCUUUGAACGCACAUUGCGCCCUUUGGUAUUCCGAAGGGCAUGCCUGUUCGAGCGUCAUUAUCACCCCUCAAGCCCUCGGCUUGGUGUUGGACGGUUUGGUGGAGGCCCCCUCGGGGGCUCCUGCCCCUCCCAAAGACAAUGACGGCGGCCUCGUUGGACACCCGGUACACUGAGUUCUUCACGGGACACGUAUCGGACACAUGGGUUUACGGGACACGGUCUGCCUCCCCUCAGGGAGAAUCUUUCUAAGGUUGACCUCGGAUCAGGUAGGGAUACCCGCUGAACUUAAGCAUAUCAAUAAGCGGAGGA